UGAGGAAUAUUGGUCAAUGGUCGGAAGACUGAACCAGCCAUGCCGCGUGAAGGUGACGGCCCUAUGUGUCUUAAACUUCUUUUGUAAGGGAGCAAUAAGGUCUACGUGUAGAUUGAUGAGAGUACCUUACGACUAAGCAUCGGCUAACUCCGUGCCAGCAGCCGCGGUAAUACGGGGGAUGCAAGCGUUAUCCGGAUUUAUUGGGUUUAAAGGGUGCGUAGGCGGUCAUGUAAGUCAGCGGUGAAAUUUCCGAGCUCAACUUGGCACGUGCCGUUGAUACUGCUUGACUGGAAUGCGGAUGCCGUGGGAGGAAUGUGUGGUGUAGCGGUGAAAUGCAUAGAUAUCACACAGAACACCGAUUGCGAAGGCAUCUCACGAAUCCGCUAUUGACGCUGAGGCACGAAAGCGUGGGGAUCAAACAGG
rnacentral:rRNA from 2 species